GUCACUUUUUACUAACAUUCCACUGGAUGAGACAAUAGAUAUAUCUGUAAACUCUGUAUUCUCAGGUCUGGACAUUUUUAAAAAUAUGACAAAAUCCCUAUUUACAAAUCUACUACGUGUUUGUGUUAAGGAUAAUCUAUUUGUGUUUAACAAUGAAUUAUAUAAACAAACAGACGGCGUGGCGAUGGGCUCACCACUCGGACCCACCUUCGCUAACAUCUUCCUUUGUUACCACGAACGAAACUGGCUCGAUGAUUGUCCUAUCGCUUUCAAACCUAUGUCAUAUAUACGAUAUGUUGAUGAUACGUUGGUGAUUUUUAAGGAAGCAUCACAUGCAGACCAUUUCCUACAUUACCUUAACUCACAACAUGACAAUAUCAAGUUCACUAUGGAAUCUGAAAUAGACUCACAAAUCCCCUUCCUUGACCUAAACAUCACAAAAAUCAAUGGUAGACUUUCCACCUCUAUUUAUCGUAAACCUACAUUUUCUGGCCUCGGUAUUAGUUUUUUCAGCUUUUGCAGUUUCCGGUUCAAAAUCAAUUCAGUCCGUACCCUCUUACACCGUGCCUUUGCUCUGUCUUCUUCUUACCUAAAUUUCCAUAAUGAAGUUACUUUCCUAAAGGAUUUUUUCUAUAACAAUGGCUUCACCACCAACCUGUUUGAGAAAACUCUGAAUAACUUUCUCCAAAGUAAAUACCUUCUUAAACAUCCAAUUACCACUGUUGCCAAAGAAACAAUCUAUUUACGUAUUCCAUUUUUAGGUGAGGUUUCCAAGAAAUUAGAAAGGGGUCUAUAUGAAAAACUUACAAAAUAUUAUCCUGAUAAACAUUUUCGUAUUGUGUCUACAAAUAGUCUAUGUAUAGGUAGUUUUUUUCCUCUUUAAGGACACUCUGCCAACUGCCUUACGCUCGUCGGCUGUUUAUUGUUUCACUUGUCCCAGCUGCCAGGCUGAGUAUGUGGGUAGCACCUUGCGCUCACUUAUAAACCGAGCCAGCGAGCAUUUAGGCCAGUCUGCCAGAACAGGGCGCCCGCUACACAACGCCCCAUUUUCCGCGAUACGGGACCACUGCCUCUCAUACCACUGAUGAUGACAUAAGAUGAAAUGUCGAAACGUUUGGCCCAUUAAAGAUGCUGCUCGUA